rnacentral:rRNA from 1 species
UAGCAUAAUAAAUAGUCUCUUAAUUGGAGUCUAGUAUGAAUGGUCGGACAUGAAGUAAGCUGUUUUAACUUUGAUGCUUGAAUUUUACCUUUAAGUGAAAAGGCUUAAAUUAGAUGGUGGGACGAUAAGACCCUAUAAAGCUUUACGUUUUACUUAUCAGUUGUGAGAAUUAAGGUUUUUUAUUCUUAUUAAGUAAAGCGUUUCGUUGGGGCGACGGGAAUAUAAAUAAGUAACUGUUUUUGCUUAAAAAAUAUGAUUUUAUAGGUGAGUUGAUCCUUUUUAGAGAUUAUAAGAUUUGAGUUACUUUAGGGAUAACAGCGUAAUUUAUCUUGAGAGUUCAUAUCGACAGAUAUAGUUGCGACCUCGAUGUUGAAUUAAAAUACCCCCCAGGUGUAGCAGUUUUGGUGGUAGGUCUGUUCGACCUUUAAAA